UCCAUGAGCUCCACCCCUUAAGCUUUGGUGGAGCCAUAGAAACUGUAGGGACUAAGAGGCAAAGGAGUGGACCCCAAAGAAAUACUCAGGCUCUUGCUAGGACAAAGGGAAAGAAAUAGAUGCCAGUGAGAUAGACCAGAUUUUUUCAGCUUUGUGGGCAGCACGAGAGAAAGAAUAGUAGGUUAGGGGAGGACAAGAUGACGAGUCCAGAUUAGAAGGUGUUGUGUUUGCAGGCUCUGUGGUGCAAGCAGAGGAGAUGGUCAGCAGGCAGUCGGGUAGAGAGAGACCCAUGCUGGAGAGGGAUCUGGAAUUGCCAGUGUGUAGGUGGUGAGUGAGAAGCUGAAGAAGACAAUAAUGAUGCAGACUUUGGAAACCAUUCUGGACUCCCUGCUUCAGGAACUGCAAGUUUGAUCUGAUUGCUUUGCA
rnacentral:lncRNA from 1 species